GACGAACGCUGGCGGCGUGCUUAACACAUGCAAGUCGAACGAUGAAGCUAGAGCUUGCUCUGGUGGAUUAGUGGCGAACGGGUGAGUAACACGUGAGUAACCUGCCCCGAACUCUGGGAUAACUGCUGGAAACGGUAGCUAAUACUGGAUACGACCAACGAAGGCAUCUUCUGUUGGUGGAAAGAAUUUCGGUUCGGGAUGGACUCGCGGCCUAUCAGCUUGUUGGUGAGGUAACGGCUCACCAAGGCGACGACGGGUAGCCGGCCUGAGGGGGUGAUCGGCCACACUGGGACUGAGACACGGCCCAGACUCCUACGGGAGGCAGCAGUGGGGAAUAUUGCACAAUGGGCGCAAGCCUGAUGCAGCGACGCCGCGUGAGGGAUGACGGCCUUCGGGUUGUAAACCUCUUUCAGCACCGACGAAGCGCAAGUGACGGUAGGUGCAGAAGAAGGACCGGCCAACUACGUGCCAGCAGCCGCAGUAA
rnacentral:rRNA from 1 species